rnacentral:rRNA from 1 species
UACGGGGGGGGCAAGCGUUGUUCGGAAUUACUGGGCGUAAAGGGCGCGUAGGCGGCCCGCUAAGUCGAACGUGAAAUCCCCGGGCUCAACCCGGGAACUGCGUCCGAUACUGGCGGGCUUGAAUCCGGGAGAGGGAUGCGGAAUUCCAGGUGUAGCGGUGAAAUGCGUAGAUAUCUGGAGGAACACCGGUGGCGAAGGCGGCAUCCUGGACCGGCAUUGACGCUGAGGCGCGAAAGCCAGGGGAGCAAACGGG